rnacentral:tRNA from 1 species
GGUGAGAUGGCCGAGCGGUCUAAGGCGCCAGACUAAGGAUCUGGUCCGAAAGGGCGUGGGUUCGAAUCCCACUCUCNGAUGGCCG